rnacentral:rRNA from 1 species
UACGUAGGGUGCAAGCGUUGUCCGGAAUUAUUGGGCGUAAAGAGCCCGUAGGCGGUCUGUCGCGUCUGCUGUGAAAAUCCAGGGCUCAACCCUGGACCUGCAGUGGGUACGGGCAGACUAGAGUGCGGUAGGGGAGAUCGGAAUUCCUGGUGUAGCGGUGAAAUGCGCAGAUAUCAGGAGGAACACCGGUGGCGAAGGCGGAUCUCUGGGCCGUAACUGACGCUGAGGAGCGAAAGCAUGGGGAGCGAACAGG